rnacentral:misc_RNA from 1 species
AAAGUCGCAACAAGGUUUCCGUAGGUGAACCUGCGGAAGGAUCAUUCAUAAUAAGUGUUUUAUGGCCCUUUUUCAAUCCAUAUCCACCUUGUGUGCAAUGUCAGUCGAUCUUCUUCAUGGAGCUCGGUCAAACAUCAACCAAAUCUUUUACCUCUUUGCCUGAAAAAUAUUAUGAAUAAACAAUUCAAAAUACAACUUUCAACAACGGAUCUCUUGGCUCUC